GACGAACGCUGGCGGCGUGCUUAACAAAAACAAGUCGAACGAAAAGGCCCUGCUUUUGUGGGGUGCUCGAGUGGCGAACGGGUGAGUAACACGUGAGUAACCUGCCCUUGACUUUGGGAUAACUUCAGGAAACUGGGGCUAAUACCGGAUAGGAGCUCCUGCUGCAUGGUGGGGGUUGGAAAGUUUCGGCGGUUGGGGAUGGACUCGCGGCUUAUCAGCUUGUUGGUGGGGUAGUGGCUUACCAAGGCUUUGACUGGGAGCCGGCCUGAGAGGGUGACCGGCCACAUUGGGACUGAGGUACGGCCCAGACUCCUACGGGAGGCAGCAGUGGGGAAUAUUGCACAAUGGGCGGAAGCCUGAUGCAGCAACGCCGCGUGCGGGAUGACGGCCUUCGGGUUGUAAACCGCUUUCGCCUGUGACGAAGCGUGAGUGACGGUAAUGGGUAAAGAAGCACCGGCUAACUACGUG
rnacentral:rRNA from 1 species